CAAGCCGGACAUCACAAGGAGGAGUUACUAUGCUCUGAAGAUGGUAUUCCCCAGCAGUGCUCACCUCUCCAAAUUAAAGACCAUGGUGGAGCCUCCUAAGCUGGCCAAUUGCUACCCUGUAUUUAGGCAUCACAGAAGCUCCCAAAAUCUGUAACCCCAAAGUACUGAUGGAAC